AGGGGCAGUAUUAUGGAGUGGCUAGGAGCAUGAACUUUGUAGCCAGAGCGCCUGUGUCAAGGAAAGAUCUACCACUGCAUUUUUCUGCAAGACUGACAAAGUUAACUGACUUCUCUGUGCAUCAGUGUCCUCAGCUAUAAUAUAAGGAUCAUGAUAGUGCUUCAUGGGCUUUAUUAAAUCACAGAUAUGGAAACUAACAUCAUACAGCUAAUGAAAGUCAGAACUUGAGCUCUCACCCAGGACACACAAGUGAAGAACAAUGAAUAAGAGGAUGAAACAAUUAAUAUGGGUGCAAACAUUUCAUCAUUAAUUUUUAAGGGAUUUUUAAAGAAAAGCUAGUAAAAUUUCCGUGUCAAACAACAUGCUUUAAGAAAAGAGAAACCUCUUUGGCUGGUAACUGUGUCUUCAGCCCUUCAGACAAGACAUGCUCGAGGAAAAAAACGGCAGUAGUUGCAGCACCGACAUAGACCCCAGCCUUGGUUUAAUUGUCAUUUUCUCAUGAAUCUGAAAACAGCCUUUUCACCUUGAAAGAGGAAAGUCGGCAAAUAACACACGUGUUAUGAGACUUGAAACUUUCCCAUUAAACGUACUGUGUUUUUUAACCUGUAAUUAUAACAAUUUUCCUUUUAAAUCUUGUCUAGAGCUGAAUCUUUUAUUCUUUUGGAAAUUGGGUAAAUGUUUAAUACUAGAAGACAUAAUCUCUUAGCUUUGUAGGUGAAGAAACUGUGAUCCAAGGAGUAAAACAAUUUACUCAAGGUCACAUAUUUAGUCAUUGUAAAGCACCUACCACAACACUUCACACAUAACAUGUUUACAAUAAAGAGAAAAU
rnacentral:lncRNA from 10 species